rnacentral:rRNA from 1 species
UACGUAGGGGCCGAGCGUUGUCCGGAGUUAUUGGGCGUAAAGCGCGCGCAGGCGGCCUCGCGCGCCGACGUGAAAGCCCCCCGGCUUAACCGGGGAGGGUCGUUGGGGACGGCGGGGGCUUGAGGGCGGGAGAGGGUGGUGGAAUUCCCGGUGUAGUGGUGAAAUGCGUAGAGAUCGGGAGGAACACCCGUGGCGAAGGCGGCCACCUGGGCCGA